UACGUAGGGCGCAAGCGUUAUCCGGAAUUAUUGGGCGUAAAGAGCUCGUAGGCGGUUUGUCGCGUCUGCCGUGAAAGUCCGGGGCUCAACUCCGGAUCUGCGGUGGGUACGGGCAGACUAGAGUGAUGUAGGGGAGACUGGAAUUCCUGGUGUAGCGGUGAAAUGCGCAGAUAUCUGGAGGAACACCGGUGGCGAAGGCGGCAUCCUGGACCGGUAUUGACGCUGAGGCGCGAAAGCUAGGGGAGCAAACGGGG
rnacentral:rRNA from 1 species